ACUAGGAAUCUAGCUAUGGAAGAAUUUGGACUUAUCUUAAAGUUUGAUUUACAAUCCAAAAUAAUACAUGUCAUAUAGAAACAUCCUUUGACAAUCUUGAACAACCAAGGUAAGCUUUCAAUUAAUCAAAGUACAUCUUAUCAACCUUAAAAAAUCCCAGAUGAAUCUUAUCAUACUGUAAUCAAUUCCAAAUAAGCCUUAAAAAAUAUUUAAUACUUUUAAAUAAAAUUCUAAUAAAAUCUUAAAUAAAUUAUUA
rnacentral:lncRNA from 1 species